rnacentral:rRNA from 1 species
CUGAGUUUGAUCCUGGCUCAGGAUGAACGCUGGCGGCGUGCCUAAUACAUGCAAGUCGAGCGGACUUACAAAAGCUUGCUUUUGUAAGUUAGCGGCGGACGGGUGAGUAACACGUGGGCAACCUGCCCUUGAGACUGGGAUAACUUCGGGAAACCGGAGCUAAUACCGGAUAAUAUGAGGAACCUCCUGGUUCCUUAUUGAAAGAUGGUUUCGGCUAUCACUUAAGGAUGGGCCCGCGGCGCAUUAGCUAGUUGGUGAGGUAACGGCUCACCAAGGCGACGAUGCGUAGCCGACCUGAGAGGGUGAUCGGCCACACUGGGACUGAGACACGGCCCAGACUCCUACGGGAGGCAGCAGUAGGGAAUCUUCCACAAUGGACGAAAGUCUGAUGGAGCAACGCCGCGUGAGUGAUGAAGGCCUUCGGGUCGUAAAGCUCUGUUGUUAGGGAAGAACAAGUGCGAGAGUAACUGCUCGCACCUUGACGGUACCUAACCAGAAAGCCACGGCAACACGC